CACACGACCGUACCGCAAACCGACACUGGUGCGCGAGAUGAGUAUUCUAAGGCGCUUGAGAGAACUCAGGAGAAGGAACUCGGCAAAUUGACACCGUAACUUCGGAAGAAGGUGUGCCUUUAGUAGGUGAACCAUUUACUUGGGGAGCCCAAUGAGGCUGCAAAAAAUCGGUGGCUGCAACUGUUUAUUAAAAACACAGCACUCUGCUAAGACGAAAGUCGACGUAUAGGGUGUGACGCCUGCCCGGUGCUGGAAGAUUAAAUGAUGGGGUGCAAGCUCUUGAUUGAAGUCCCAGUAAACGGCGGCCGUAACGAUAACGGUCCUAAGGUAGCGAAAUUCCUUGUCGGGUAAGUUCCGACCUGCACGAAUGGCGUAAUGAUGGCCACACUGUCUCCUCCUGAGACUCAGCGAAGUUGAAAUGUUUGUGAUGAUGCAAUCUCCCCGCGGAAAGACGGAAAGACCCCAUGAACCUUUACUGUAGCUUUGUAUUGGACUUUGAACAGAUCUGUGUAGGAUAGGUGGGAGGCUUUGAAGUGUGGUCGCUAGAUCGCAUGGAGCCAACUUGAAAUACCACCCUGGUGUGUUUGAGGUUCUAACCUAGGUCCAUUAUCUGGAUCGGGGACAGUGCAUGGUAGGCAGUUUGACUGGGGCGGUCUCCUCCCAAAGUGUAACGGAGGAGUUCGAAGGUACGCUAGGUACGGUCGGACAUCGUGCUAAUAGUGCAAUGGCAUAAGCGUGCUUAACUGCGAGACUGACAAGUCGAGCAGAUGCGAAAGCAGGACAUAGUGAUCCGGUGGUUCUGUAUGGAAGGGCCAUCGCUCAACGGAUAAAAGGUACUCUGGGGAUAACAGGCUGAUACCGCCCAAGAGUUCAUAUCGACGGCGGUGUUUGGCACCUCGAUGUCGGCUCAUCUCAUCCUGGGGCUGUAGCCGGUCCCAAGGGUAUGGCUGUUCGCCAUUUAAAGAGGUACGUGAGCUGGGUUUAAAACGUCGUGAGACAGUUUGGUCCCUAUCUUCCGUGGGCGCUGCAGAUUUGAGGAAGCCUGCUCCUAGUACGAGAGGACCGGAGUGGACGAACCUCUGGUGUAUCGGUUGUCACGCCAGUGGCAUUGCCGAGUAGCUAAGUUCGGAAGAGAUAACCGCUGAAAGCAUCUAAGCGGGAAACUCGUUUCAAGAUUAGAUCUGCCGGGGCCUUGAGCCCCCUAAAGAGUCGUUCAAGACCAGGACGUUGAUAGGUCAGGUGUGGAAGCCAA
rnacentral:rRNA from 1 species